UGGCCUCAUUGACUGCGGGGUGCUAUUGAAAGGUCUGGCCUGCGCUAUCUAAUGCAUGGGCGGAACUGUCAGUCCUGGUUUUAGGCUAGCGUGUGUUUUGCUGGUGGUCCAGGCCCAGUGCUCAUAUGGUUCCCAGGGAUCCUCCUUUGUUGAUGAUGCACGGUAGAGACAUAGUAUCGCCUGCCAUUCUUCCUAACUUAGGGGGUUAUUCGGCCAUGGAGCUUAUAUCUACUCCACAAUUGACUUAUUUGGACGAUAUGAUGAUGUAUCGACUUCUAGGUAGAUUGCCUCUAAUAGAAGUGUCAGGGCGUCAGGUGCCCAUCGUUCAGAAUGCUCCGGUUCAGUAGACGACUGCGGAGCCAUAGGAAGAGGUAGGCGUGGAGCCUGUGCUAUUCGUCCUAGGAAAGAUGAGCCUUGAUCUCCUUGUGGAGUUCCGGCUAGCAGACUAGGCGUUUCGAGCUCUUCAGGGAUCAUUUUUGGCUCCUUGUGUCAUAUUCCGGAGAGGUCUGCCCGUUAUAGUUGUGCGCGUGGAUCGAUGCAAGAUUAUUUCCCCACUGCUUAUCUCACGCAGUCCUUCGUGCCUGCUGACUAUACCCAUGUGCCGGUGUUUGAUGUUUUUUAGCUGGCUGAUGCGGCCUAUUACUGGCGUGACCGGUUGUGUAGUGUAUAUUCACAUAUGAGGCCUUGAUGAUCUGGAGGAGAGGUUGUGGCAGACUGAGCUGGGUCCUAUUGGAGUGACGACGUUCCUCCCAGAUUUCCUGGCGAUAGAGGUGUUGACUUUGGCGGUCGUAGACUUGGAGCCUGUGGUGGUUGCGGUCUUGGAGGCUGCGGGGUCGAGGAGACUUAUGAUUUUUCUUCCAGUUGUGCGUAGACUGGUGCGACGAUGACGACAUGCUCUUCGGGAGUGAGGGAGGCGAUACGUAGCUGUUGGUACAGGAUUGAGCUUCUGACAAAUAGAUCAUACCUGUUAUAUUUGUUUGAUAUUUUAGAUGUUGUCCUAUUUUGACAAUGACCUUAUAUAUGUAAGUACACUAUUUAUUGUGUUUUGUAUUCUGGAUGCUUUGUUUGUGUUUCUUCUUUGUGGGAAGCAAUCUGAUUUUCCAUUUUUUGCUA